rnacentral:sRNA from 1 species
UGCGGGCAUGACAAGAGGCGCAUUUAUAAUUCACUCGCCACACGCUGCAAAGUAUGCCAUGUAUUUUUAACUUUUCUGUCCCAUUCGCAGACCCAACGCAUAAAUAAUUGCUCAUGCCUGAAAAAUACGGAGGCACAACUGUACGGAAGCCCACGGAGAAACAGCAACAGAAACUGACACAGAAACAGAAACAGGACACUGUCUAAAAUUUAAAACUGAAUAUCCGUUUGCCGUAAUGGGACACAAUCGAGUGAGCUUCGUUGGUUACGCACAAAUUCCCACUCAAGUAAGCGAGUGACAGAGAUAAUUUAAUAACUCAGCAUGCACUCCCCGAGUGGCUGGACAAAGGGUAAAAUCAUCGGACCUGGGAACCGGACCCACAGCAUUAAUUAUGUUGUCCCUUUUACACUCGAGUUGAGCUGAAGAAAACCCACGGCAAUGCUGCACCCCCAUGGCAGCCCCCAAAAUACUUAUUAAUAAUUCAAGCAGAAAAGUCAAAGGACAUGCACACUAAUUGACCAUAUGGAUUUCAAGUGAAUUAUUGCACACUUUCUCGGCUCCACACUCUCAGAUCUAUCCUAGAUUCACCCCGAUUCUGAAGCUGAUUCUGUAUCUGUAUCUGAUUCUGAUUCUGUUUCGCUUCUAGCUGCCGGCUGUUUGCCGAACCACUAACUGGAUUCGGGCGAAUCCAGAUGCAGGCAGCGCCACUCACCUGAUCAUUCAGCGUGGAUAUCUCGUUGUCGC